rnacentral:rRNA from 1 species
GUGAGGAAUAUUGGCCAAUGGGCGGGAGCCUGAACCAGCCAAGUCGCGUGAAGGAAGAAGGAUCUAUGGUUCGUAAACUUCUUUUGCAGGGGAAUAAAGUGCAGGACGUGUCCUGUUUUGUAUGUACCCUGAGAAUAAGGAUCGGCUAACUCCGUGCCAGCAGCCGCGGUAAUACGGAGGAUCCGAGCGUUAUCCGGAUUUAUUGGGUUUAAAGGGUGCGUAGGUGGUUUGAUAAGUCAGCGGUGAAAGUUUGCAGCUUAACUGUAAAAAUGCCGUUGAAACUGUCGGACUUGAGUGUAAAUGAGGUAGGCGGAAUGCGUGGUGUAGCGGUGAAAUGCAUAGAUAUCACGCAGAACUCCGAUUGCGAAGGCAGCUUACUAAGCUACAACUGACACUGAAGCACGAAAGCGUGGGGAUCAAACAGGAUUAGAUACCCGGGUAGUCC